AAUGGCGCGAUUACCACAUUUUCCGAACCCUGAUGAAUAAGCUGGACAGUCUUUUCGAAAAUCGUGAACAAUUACGACGAUGGCCUAGGUUAUCGUUGAGACAUACCCCGGAACAACAUAUGUUAUCGUUGAGACAUACACCGGAAGAACAACAAGUUCGAAGGCGGAUCUUUCCCUGGCAGGAAAGUGGACAGAGCUUCGACGGAGCGCGGAAAAGACUUUGUGAUGGGGAAUUGGAAACGGAUAAUGUUCAGGGCUAACAGGACCCCAUAUAUCUCCGACAUACAGCCCUUUAUGAUAAAGGAUGCGUUAUGGCCAGCUGACACGCAGGACUUUGAUGCAAUUCUACCGUUCUGUACGAGCGCUUUUUCAAACUCACCGCGAAUCCAGGGAACAUCGACCCCCUCCCGACAUAUUCAAGACCCCAACAGGCAACGAUCAACUGUGGCCCAAGUACACUGCUCCGAAUCAAGCCCACCCGAAAACUACUGUUGGGCCGGGAACUUGCUGCUUCACGAGCCGGCGCUCCAGGGACAAGACUACCCGGAGACAGAUCCAGCAGAAUCGGGAAAGCUAGAGGGAAAAAGUCACACACCCCCGGUUUCGGCGAUUCGUCACAACAAGCGCCAAAAAAGCCGAGACUCCGCACCGGCGAAAAACGGCACAGACGACCACAUAAAUCUAGAGCUGGG